AUGAACGGGCCAAAACGGACAUGGCAGCAGGUCAAAAUCAAAUACAAGAACAUUCUGCAGAAUGCAGUGAAAAAGAAUACCCACAGACAAGGCACGGGUGGUGGGUCACCAAAGGCUGACCUUACCCCAGCAGAGGACAUGGCCUUGGAGCUAAAUAAAGGCAGGCCCGUCUUAGAGGGGAUCCCUGGGGGGAAAGAGACGAGCAUAGGUUCCUCCCAAGAUGCCACCCGCUUCAUUCAAGUGUCUGGCAGCACUGUGUUCCUGUUAGAGCCACCAGCACAAGCACCAGAUGAUGCUGAUCCAGGUGAAAGUCCCAGUGCAGCAGCAACAGCACAUGAUGGAGAUGAUGAUGAGGAGGAGACCAUCUCUCUGGAUUCCAGAAGGCAUGAGGACCCAGAUGCUAUACAGUGGGAAAACCAGCCUGGCAACAUAAGCUCACAAGCUAUCAGAAAGUUGUAUGGCAACCACCUCCGGCGCCAAAUAGAACUGGCAGACAUAGACAUUCAGUACAAGAAGAAAAAGCUAGAAAAUCUUGCACUGGAGUCCGAAAUAAAAAAGAGGACAAUUAGGAAACUGGACCUUGAAAUAAAAAAACUUGAGCGGGAGCUCCAAGAAGAUGACACAGCUAAAAAUAAAAAUUAGGUAUAUUCUCGUAAAGUCAAGUGAGCCAUGACAUAUGAGCUCUUAUUGUGAGCACACAGGACGGUGGCAUCUUUCUAAGGUAUAUUUUAUUUUCACAGCAAUCAGUACAACCAAGUCAUCGUUAUAAGGCACCAGCUUUUGCCCACCUCCCCAGCACCAGGUGCGGCCACUAGCCUAUAUGAAGGCCCAAAAUUGUGUGUUCCUUUCUGCUCUGACAAUGGCAUGCCCAUUCUUGCGAGAUGUGGUGGAUGAAGAAGCACUUGUGCUGAGGAGAGCCUUCAGGCGAGAAAGGGUCUUCAGGGACCGGUUGGACCCACUGGCCUUCCCUGAUGACCAUCUAUAUGAAAGAUACAGGUUUUCUGCAGAUGGCAUCAGGUAUCUAUGCAGACUACUGGGUCCCAGGAUUAAGCACCGCACUGCACGGAGCCAUGCACUGAGUGUGGAGCAAAUGGUUUGUGUGGCCUUGCGCUUUUUUGCUAGUGGAGCCUUCCUGUACUCAGUGGGGGAUGCAGAACAGCUGAACAAGGCCACAAUUUGCCGCACAAUAAGGAGUGUGUGUCUGGCUAUCAAAGCAUUAGCAGAUGUCUUCAUCUCCUUCCCUGGCCACAGAAGACUCUGUGACAUGAAAGAGGAGUUCUAUAGGAUUGCAGGUAAGAGGAUCUACAAAUUACAGGACAACUGUUAACACAUAGUAGGAUACUCAUUACUUUGUGUGACCGGUUUCCCCAAUGUUAUUGGUGCAGUGGACUGCACACACAUAAGGAUAAAAGCCCCCUCAGGUGCCCAUGAGGCAGAUUUUGUGAAUAGGAAAUCCUUUCACAGCAUUAAUGUUCAGGUGAACAUAACUUUUUGAUAUUGUCCAUUGACGAACACUCUGCAUUGCCAAUGAUGUGCAUUGAUUGGUGUAAUAUUCCUCAUCUUAUGAUUUCAGAUGGUCUGCAAUGCUGACUGUGUGAUCAGCAAUGUUGUGGUGAAAUGGCCUGGCUCAGUCCAUGACUCCAGAAUCUUUCGGGCCUCUGAAAUCUAUCAGUGCCUAUCACAAGGUAAGCCACACAACCCCUGUUUAUAACCAUCAUGGCUGUGUCAAGAAUAUCACUGUGUUCAUGAGGUAGUAAUGAUGAGAUUUUGUGUUGACAGGUGAAUUCUCUGGUGUGUUGCUGGGAGACCGGGGGUAUGGCUGCCAGCCUUUUCUCCUGACACCUUUCACAGACCCCCAGGAAGCACAGCAGGCCUACAACCAUGCCCAUGCCAGGACCAGGGCCAGAGUUGAAAUGACCUUUGGCCUCCUGAAGGCACGCUUUCACUGCCUUCACAAAUUAAGGGUCAACCCUGUUAGAGCAUGUGAUAUUACUGUGGCUUGUGCUGUCCUCCACAAUGUAGCCUGCCUGAGGAAGGAGAGGGCCCCCAGAGUGCCACCAGCCAUGGACUGGGACAAUCCGGCAAUCUUCCCUGAUGACGACAGUGGUCGGCUGCUGAGGGACCAAUAUGUGUUGAAUUAUUUUAGUUAGUAUGUGUGCUUUCAAUUUAGGUAAAAAAUGUCCUUUUGUGGCAGAGGAAAUAGGGUUUUUUUGGGUUUUUUUUUUUUUUAGGAAUUUGGCCUCUUAUGAUGUUUGUGCGGUAUACUGUGUGUAAUACAAGGCUGCAGGGAGGCUACUGCAUCCAUUCAUUUGUCUGUUCAGUUGAUGUGUAUGGAUUUGUCCUGCAUUUAUUUUAGUGUGCAGACAUGCAGGGUGUGUUAUAUACAUACCUUUGAAUGUGUAUGUAUCAUUUUGUAUAAUAUGCUUUGAUUCUGUGCUUUCCAUCUUGUAGAGUCACUGUGACUUCAGUUUCGAAAGGAGCUGAUAGUUUACCUGCUUUGUUUUGUCCUUAUUCAAUAAAGGAACAUAAUGUUACACAUUGUGUUUUUAUAUUCAUAUGGAAUGUGUAUUUGUUUAUGACCGAGUACUAGGGUCCCACUGAGGAAAAAGGAUAAAGUCAUAAAUUUAUGAGGAUGGUUCUUUCUGCAGUAAAGCAACAUAUUCUUUUUACAGUUUUGAUAGUUAUGACAAUGUGAUACUUCAUAUUCUGGCACAUCAGCAUGUCUUUGUUUAUGAAACCAUACUGAAGUACAAUUUCACGAAAUGCCCCACAUCUGUCAUUUUAACAACUGUCCUCCUUUAAAACAACUGGUUACAAUAUUAUGACUUGUCUUUUUUUUCCCCUCUGUGGCCCUAAUAUUCUAUCAUUUUAUAUAUAGCCUUAUAGUCUAUGGGAAACUGUAAAUUAUCUAAUGAUCGCAACAUCAUCUAAAAAUCAUUAAUCCAAAAUGAUUGAAAUUAAUGAUCACAAACGUUUAAAUAACGACAGUGGGUCUAGUUAUAUGUGAUAACAAUGUAUAGUGAGCAGUGAAAUAACUAUUGGUUUCCGUUUGUGGCGACUGCUGACUGACAUUAGGGAUGAGAUUAAAUAGAUCCUGGAAUUUAACCUGGUCUGGAGCAGGCUAGCUCCACAGAAUAAAUCUCCAUGGUAAUUUAUACCAUAACAUAUCCUCCUGCCCCCUAUCCAGCUUUAGUGCAACCGGAUUAGGGAUCAAUUGAGCCAGGAUCACCAAGAUAUCCUGGCUUAAUCCCUUAUCCUACUUUUGUGCAAC
ensembl:lncRNA